GAUGAACGCUGGCGGCGUGCCUAAUACAUGCAAGUCGAACGCUGGAAAUCUAGCUUGCUAGAUUGAAGGAGUGGCGAACGGGUGAGUAAUACAUAAGCAACCUACCCACGAAGACUGGGAUAAUCUCUGGAAACGGGGACUAAUACCGGAUAGGUAAUCGGAAGGCAUCUUCUGAUUAUUAAAGGUUAAAAACACUGGUGGAUGGGCUUAUGGCGCAUUAGUUAGUUGGUGAGGUAACGGCCCACCAAGACGAUGAUGCGUAGCCGGCCUGAGAGGGUGAACGGCCACAUUGGGACUGAGGCACGGCCCAGAAUCCUACGGGAGGCAGGAGUAGGGAAUUUUCGGGAAUGGGGGAAACCCUGACCGAGCAACGCCGCGUGAGUGAUGACGGCCUUCGGGUUGUAAAGCUCUGUUGUAAGGGAAGAACGGUAGAUAGAGAAUAUCUAAAUGACGGUACCUUACCAGAAAGCCACGGCUAACUACGUG
rnacentral:rRNA from 1 species